GAUGAAGAACGUAGCGAAAUGCGAUAGGUAAUGUGAAUUGCAGAAUUCAGUGAACCAUCGAAUCUUUGAACGCACAUUGCGCCCGGCAGUAAUCUGCCGGGCAUGCCUGUCCGAGCGUCAUUUCUGCCCUCGAGCGAGUCCAGCAUCUAGGUGCUGGGCCCGCCCGGCGUUGGGGCACUACGGGAAGCCCUGUGCUGUCCCCCGUAGGCCCCGAAAUGAAGUGGCGGUCCUGCCGCGGCGCCCCCUGCGUAGUAUAACAGCUCGCUUCGGGACCCGGUGGAGGCCUGCCGUCAAACCUUACUCUCUAAGUUUGACCUCGGAUCAGGUAGGGUUACCCGCUGAACUUAAGCAUAUCAAUAAGCGGAGGA
rnacentral:misc_RNA from 1 species